rnacentral:misc_RNA from 1 species
GAUGAAGAACGUAGCGAAAUGGGAUAAGUAAUGUGAAUUGCAGAAUUCAGUGAAUCAUCGAAUCUUUGAACGCACAUUGCGCCCGCCAGUAUUCUGGCGGGCAUGCCUGUUCGAGCGUCAUUUCAACCAUCAAGCCCCAGGCUUGUGUUGGAGCCCUGCGGCUGCCGCAGCCUCCCAAAACCAGUGGCGGGCUCGCUAUCACACCGAGUGCAGUAGUUUACUCUUCGCUCAGGGCGUGUGGCGGGUGCUAGCCGUGAAACCCCCAACUUCUCAAGGUUGACCUCGGAUCAGGGAGGAAUACCCGCUGAACUUAAGCAUAUCAAUAAGCGGAGGA